rnacentral:rRNA from 1 species
GACGAACGCUUGCGACGUGCCUAAGAAAUGCAAGUCGAGCGAGGCAGCAAUGCCUAGCGGCGAACGGUCGCGUAACACGUAAGCAACCUGCCCCAAGACCGGGACAACGUUCCGAAGGAGCGCUAAUACCGGAUGUGCCCAUCUGUUGACAUCGGCGGAUGAGUAAAUCGAGCAAUCGGCUUUGGGAGGGGCUUGCGGCCUAUCAGCUAGAUGGCGGGGUAACGGCUCACCAUGGCGACGACGGUAGCUGGUCUGAGAGGAUGGUCAGCCGGAUUGGGACUGAGACAC